rnacentral:rRNA from 1 species
AGAGUUUGAUCCUGGCUCAGAACGAACGCUGGCGGCGGGCCUCAUACAUGCAAGUCGAGCGCGUGUAGCAAUACACGAGCGGCGUACGGGUGAGUAACGGGUGGAUAAUCUGCCUCCGGGUGGGGGAUAACGGCUGGAAACGGCCGCUAAUACCGCAUACGGUGGCCGGCCUUCGGGCUGGUCAAGAAAGGGGCUUCAAAGCCUCGCCGGGAGAUGAGUCCGCCUCCGAUUAGCUAGUUGGUAGGGUAAUGGCCUACCAAGGCUUUGAUCGGUAGCCGAACUGAGAGGUUGAUCGGCCACACUGGAACUGAGACACGGUCCAGACACCUACGGGUGGCAGCAGUAGGGAGUAUUGCGCAAUGGGCGAAAGCCUGACGCAGCCACGCCGCGUGGAUGAUGAAGGCCUUCGGGUCGUAAAGUCCUUUUAUGAGGGAAGAACAGUCCGGUGAGGAAAUGCUCCGGAUUUGACGGUACCUCAGGAAUAAGCCACGGCUAACUCUGUGCCAGCAGCCGCGGUAAUACAGAGGUGGCUAGCGUUGUUCGGAAUUACUGGGCGUAAAGGGAGCGCAGGCGGCUAAAUAAGUCUGAAGUGCAAGCCCGGGGCUCAACCCCGGAAUCGCUUUGGAUACUGUUUGGCUUGAGUAUGUCAGAGGUGAGCGGAAUUCCAGGUGUAGCGGUGAAAUGCGUAGAUAUCUGGAGGAACAUCCGUAGCGAAGGCGGCUCACUGGGACAACACUGACGCUGAGGCUCGAAAGCGUGGGGAGCGAACGGGAUUAGAUACCCCGGUAGUCCACGCUGUAAACGUUGUGCACUAGGUGUGAGGGGUGUCUACCCCCUUCGUGCCGUAGCUAACGCAUUAAGUGCACCGCCUGGGGAGUACGGUCGCAAGACUGAAACUCAAAGGAAUUGACGGGGGCCCGCACAAGCGGUGGAGCAUGUGGUUUAAUUCGAGGCAACGCGAAGAACCUUACCCAGGCUUGACAUCCCAGGACCGCCUACGAAAGUAGGUUUUCUCUUCGGAGACCUGGAGACAGGUGUUGCAUGGCUGUCGUCAGCUCGUGUCGUGAGAUGUUGGGUUAAGUCCCGCAACGAGCGCAACCCUUAUCCCUAGUUACCAGCGGUUCGGCCGGGCACUCUAGGGAGACUGCCGGUGAUAAGCCGGAGGAAGGUGGGGACGACGUCAAGUCAUCAUGGCCCUUAUGCCUGGGGCUACACACGUGCUACAAUGGCCGGUACAAUGGGUCGCGAACCCGCGAGGGGGAGCCAAUCUCAAAAAGCCGGUCUCAGUUCGGAUUGGAGUCUGCAACCCGACUCCAUGAAGCCGGAAUCGCUAGUAAUCGCGCAUCAGCUACGGCGCGGUGAAUACGUUCCCGGGCCUUGUACACACCGCCCGUCACAUGACCCGAGUCGGGUGCACCUUAAGUCGCCGGCCCAACCGUAAGGAGGGAGGCGCCCAAGGUGUGCUUGGUGAGGGGGAUGAAGUCGAAACAAGGUAGCCGUAUCGGUAGGUGCGGCUG